UUACUAAAACAAUAAAUGAAAGUAAUGAGAAAGUGGCCGCUUUCAUGAGUAAAUCAUAUAAGCCUUAUAUGAUUCACUAUAUGAUGUAGGCCACAUCUGAUGCAAGUCUUUAUUUUCUUUUUCUAUUUCUUUUCCAUAUGGAACUGCAGUGAGUUCUAUUUUGACUUGCCAAAAUUGUAUGUAUUUACUGUAUAUAGCAUACCCAUUUGUAAAUAGUUGCAAUACUGCUGUAUAAGUUUUUCUGUUUUAUUUUUCCUUUCCCAUUUCUACACUGUUUUUCCCAGUAUAUCUCUGAUUCACUUUCUCUGUGGUGCUGUAACAUGUCUAUACCAAAACUAAAUCUUUAACUCCUUUUAUAGUGAUAUUUAACUAUCAAAAUUUUGAAUUUGCAAUUAAGACUAUGAUAUGCAUAUGUCACAUAUUUUCACCAUUUGCAAGUCUGAAGCGAGACGGCUGUCUGUGUGUUCCUUGCUUUACAUGCAGACUCAUUUUCUCUAAAUUAUGUAAAGUGUAAGAAAAACAGAUUUUCAAAGCAUAAAAUACUAAUAGUUUUAUUUUUACUAAAUGUUCUAGGAAAAUCUCACAUACUUUCAACGCAUAAGAAUAAAGGUUUUAUAAAAAUAAUGCUCUUUGAAACGUAACAUCACAUGUCACACAUUUUAAAGGCACAAUGCACUAAGAAAAGUGCCCACAAAAAACUAAAAAUUCUAGAGCAAGUGCACACCUUUGAGACAUGCUAUCGCACAAUUAACUAAGACCUGUCAUCAAAUGUCAACCACUUCAGGUAAUUCACAGUCAUUUGUGUCUGCUGCUCUCUUAAAGUCUGCUGAUCAGAUCCAGAUGCAGAGUCUGCUGUACCGAGGGUAAGAAUGUCUCUUUGUUCCUUCAUCGACAAUAUCUCAAAGAGUGUCUUUGAGAGGAAAAACCGUGUGAAUGUGGUGAGGUGCUGGUACAAGAGUCUGCAAGCUGUGUCACGGUCUGCGAGGCAGAUCAUGUGGAGAUGAGAGAAUGAGGACCCUAAUGCAGACACAGAUGCAGGGGAAGGUUUUAACUGAAGGCAAGCCUUUGUUUGUGGCUGUACGAAAACUCUACAAAACAACAAGCGAAGGGGAACUGAAAAACACAUAACGAAACCCAAACUGGGAAAGCUAAACAUAAAACCUGAAACUGAACAGAACGAGAAAAUCUGAGACCUGGAAACAUGGGCCCUGAGACUCAGGGGCCGAUAAACAGAGGAAGACGAACAGACGAUCUGAUGAAAUCUAAGUAAAUUGAUCAAUAUUAAUAAUCACAAAACAUAAACAUGGAGUCACUAGACUCUGAACCAUGACAAGCUGUCUUGUAUAUUGACUUUGAAAUAUUGUUGGACUUUUUCUGGUCUAACAGUCUUCGGGAUUCACUCAACAGAAGUUGGUAAGGUCAGCUGUGUUUCUUAUUGGUCAAGGCUAGAUCUUCUUACUUCAGUAAUCUCAUAAAUUAUAACACCUGUAAUCCCACAGUAUUAUUAACAGCAAUGUGUCUCCUCCACCUCAGCAUGCUGUGUUACUUCCUGUUCAUGACUGUAGUGGAUUUCUUAAUCACUACUGGUGACAAAGUGAUGGACUUCAUCCCAAAUUUCUUUAUUUUUCACCGCUUAUGAAGAUUGUCCGCAAUUCCCUGAGUCAUUUUUGAUGACAGCUCUGUUGGUAAUUUUCUGCCCAUUUCAGUAUAGUUAAUUCAAAAUCUUAU
rnacentral:lncRNA from 1 species